CAAUCGGCCCUUUUUAGGGCCACCAAAUUUUUAUACGUUGGAAUAU
rfam:Trichomalopsis sarcophagae strain Alberta scaffold442, whole genome shotgun sequence.